rnacentral:lncRNA from 1 species
AAUUCUGCUUCAGGCUCUCCUUUUAACUCUGUGUGAUGUAAUAAACUAUGUAAACUGACUGGAAACUGUUACUGAUUGAAAUGGAGAGGAUAAACUGAAGGAAAACUGUUUCUUCACAAUCACUGUUGUUCUCUGGCUGACUAGAGAGAAGGAAUCUGAACCUGCUUAUAGUAAUGGAGGUAGAUACAGAGAAGUGCUGGGGGAUACUACACACACACAGAGAUGCUGGUACACAGGGGACACUCUGGGGUUUGCCUAUAGAUUCCUACUGAUUGCUGAUGGAUCAAUCUACUUCCUAAACCCCUUCCUCUCUCACUCCCUCCCUUAACCAACCUCUCCCUUUUGCCUCCCUCACCUCCGCUUUGAAGCCAUUGGCUCCUUCCCUCCCUCCUCAGUUAAUUAUAAUCAUAUUCUAGUUAUUUUCUCAGUCAAAGGGUUUAUUGGGAUAACAGGAUGGGAAACUAAGGUAAGAGGGAUGAGGAAUUUCCCUAAUCUAAAUGAGGUAAAAUUAAGGGUAUAGGAAGUCACAAGUGUGUCUCUUAGACAGUUAGAAAGAUGGAGGAUAACAGCAGUUCAAAAUCUUUCUUCUUUUUCACAAAUCAGCUAGAUCUCUCAGCUUAACCCCAGAAAGAAACAAAGUUAAAAAGUCUCUAAGUUUCUUCUUGGCCAGCUCAAAAGCCAAAUAGAUCACCAACUCAAAAGCUUCUCCCCUGGUCAGCUUCCACUACUCCGAGCCAGAGAUAAAGUCCAAAAGCCAAGUCAGCCUCACAAAAGUCUCUCAGCCAACUUCAAACCUCCAGGGAGCAAGUGUGUGUUCCCCAGUCAGAGAUCCAGAGACCAAAAGGCCCCCUGGUCAACUCCAACUGUUCAGAGCCAUAGAGAGAGACCAAGUUCAAAAGCCCAGUUUCUCCUCUCAGAGUGAGGCCAGCAAAAGCCUCUAGGGAAAAGAGUGACUUCCAGUGCCAGACACAGAGACCAAAAGCCCCUCCCUCAGCUCCAACUGCCACCAACCAGGGACAUUCUGUUGGAACCCUGACUUUUGCAUUCUUUACAUCUUGGUCCACAAGUCCUGCAAAAAUUUCUUUCUUCAUAUCUCUAUCACAAAAUAGUCAUGACAUCUACUGUCCCCAGGAACCAAAGACCUGCUUUUCUGGG